rnacentral:rRNA from 1 species
GACGAAGGGGGCUAGCGUUGUUCGGAAUUACUGGGCGUAAAGCGUGUGUAGGUGGUUGCCAUAGUCAGGUGUGAAAGCCUUGAGCUCAACUCAAGAAAUGCACUUGAUACUGGGCAGCUAGAGGACCGGAGAGGAUAGUGGAAUUCCCAGUGUAGUGGUGAAAUACGUAGAGAUUGGGAAGAACACCAGUGGCGAAGGCGGCUACCUGGCCUGUUUCUUGACGCUGAGGCGCGAAAGCUAGGGGAGCAAACGGG